rnacentral:rRNA from 1 species
UAGGGAAUCUUCCACAAUGGACGCAAGUCUGAUGGAGCAACGCCGCGUGAGUGAAGAAGGUUUUCGGACCGUAAAGCUCUGUUGUUGGUGAAGAAGGAUAGAGGUAGUAACUGGCCUUUAUUUGACGGUAAUCAACCAGAAAGUCACGGCUAACUACGUGCCAGCAGCCGCGGUAAUACGUAGGUGGCAAGCGUUGUCCGGAUUUAUUGGGCGUAAAGCGAGCGCAGGCGGAAGAAUAAGUCUGAUGUGAAAGCCCUCGGCUUAACCGAGGAAUUGCAUCGGAAACUGUUUUCUUGAGUGCAGAAGAGGAGAGUAGAACUCCAUGUGUAGCGGUGGAAUGCGUAGAUAUAUGGAAGAAUACCAGUGGCGAAGGCGGCUCUCUGGUCUGCAACUGACGCUGAGGCUCGAAAGCAUGGGUAGCGAACAGGAUUAGAUACCCUGGUAGUCCAUGCCGUAAACGAUGAGUGCUAAGUGUUGGGAGGCUUCCGCCUCUCAGUGCUGCAGCUAACGCAUUAAGCACUCCGCCUGGGGGAGUACGACCGCAAGGUUGAAACUCAAAGUGAAUUGAC